UCUUCUUCUUUCUUUUUUUUGAUCAAUGAGUUGAAGGUUGAUAAGUUAGCAUUGAUUAGGGAGACUUAACCUUCCUUGAUUCAAAUCUAAUUCAUCUUGAUCAAUUGAUCAAGAGAAUCGAUUUGCAUUAAGGAUAGGUUGUUUCCUAAAUUAUGCAAAAGACUUAAACCAAUACAAGAUCAAUUCUCUUUUUUCUUUAUGGCAAGUUGUUGGAACUUGGUUCACUAAUCAAGACUUCUAAUUUGUGUUGUUG
rnacentral:lncRNA from 1 species